AGAGUUUGAUCCUGGCUCAGAACGAACGCUGGCGGCAUGGCUAAAACAUGCAAGUCGCACGCGAAAGUUUUUUUCGGAAAACGAGUAGAGUGGCGAAAGGGCGAGUAAUGCAUGGGUAACGUACCCCGGGCACGAGGACAGCUGUGGGAAACCGCAGGUAAUACUCGAUGAGACCACGGUGUCAUAUGGCACAGCGGUCAAAGGGCGGGGAUCCCUUCGGGGACCUGCUGGCCUGGGAGCGGCCCAUGUCCUAUCAGCUUGUUGGUGAGGUAACUGCUCACCAAGGCAAUGACGGGUAGCGGGACUGAGAGGUUGACCCGCCGCAUUGGGACUGAGACACUGCCCAGACUCCUACGGGAGGCUGCAGUAACGAAUAUUGGGCAAUGGGCGAAAGCCUGACCCAGCAAUGCCGCGUGUGGGAAGAAGCUCUUCGGGGUGUAAACCACUGUCAGGGAUUACCAAGCAAUGAGGGCUAAUAUCCCUCAAAGUUGAGGCGUCCCAGAGGAAGCCACGGCUAACUUCGUGCCAGCAGCCGCGGUAAGACGAAGGUGGCAAGCGUUGUUCGGAAUCACUGGGCUUAAAGAGCACGUAGGCGGCUUAUCAAGCGUUUUGUGAAAUCCCUCGGCUCAACCGAGGAAUUGCUUGGCGAACUGAUAGGCUUGAGGCAGGUAGGGGCGAGUGGAACUCUUGGUGGAGCGGUGGAAUGCGUAGAUAUCAAGAGGAACGCCGGAGGUGAAGACGACUCGCUGGGCCUGUUUAGGUUUCGAUCCUGAUUCGUCGGGAUUGGGACCUUUUCCUGACGCUGAGGUGCGAAAGCCAGGGGAGCGAACGGGAUUAGAUACCCCGGUAGUCCUGGCCCUAAACGAUGUCCACUAGGUCAAUGGUUCUCUGACGGAUUGUUGGCCGAAAUAAAAACGUUAAGUGGACCGCCUGGGGAGUACGGUCGCAAGGCUAAAACUCAAAGGAAUUGACGGGGGCUCACACAAGCGGUGGAGCAUGUUGCUUAAUUCGAUUCAACGCGAAGAACCUUAUCCUGGGCUUGACAUGUGCGGAUGCCUUCCUGGAAACAGGAUGGCUGCCUUUCGGGGUGAAACGUACACAGGUGCUGCAUGGCUGUCGUCAGCUCGUGUCGUGUGAUGUUGGGUUAAGUCCCGUAACGAGCGAAACCCUUGUCGCUAGUUGCCAGCGGGUCAUGCCGGGGACUCUAGCGAGACUGCCGGUGUUAAACCGGAGGAAGGUGGGGAUGACGUCAAGUCCUCAUGGCCUUUAUGCCCAGGGCUGCAAACGUGCUACAAUGGCUGGUACAAACCGACGCAAGACCGCGAGGUGGAGCAAAUCGGAAAAAGCCGGCCCCAGUUCGGAUUGCAGUCUGCAACUCGACUGCAUGAAGUUGGAAUCGCUAGUAAUCGUAGAUCAGCUAUGCUACGGUGAAUGUGUUCCUGAGCCUUGUACACACCGCCCGUCAAGUCAUGGAAGCUGGUAGCGCCCGAAGUCGGUCCGUUUCCGGGCUGCCGAAGGUGAGAUCGGUGACUGGGACUAAGUCGUAACAAGGUA
rnacentral:rRNA from 1 species